rnacentral:rRNA from 1 species
AACGAACGCUGGCGGCAGGCUUAACACAUGCAAGUCGAACGAGCUGGGACCUUCGGGUCCCGAUGCUAGUGGCGCACGGGUGAGUAACACGUGGGAACGUACCCUUUAGUACGGGAUAACCCAGGGAAACUUGGGCUAAUACCGUAUGACUCCUUCGGGAGAAAGAUUUAUCGCUAAAGGAACGGCCCGCGUCUGAUUAGGUAGUUGGUGAGGUAACGGCUCACCAAGCCAACGAUCAGUAGCUGGUCUGAGAGGAUGAUCAGCCACACUGGGACUGAGACACGGCCCAGACUCCUA